UACGGAGGGUGCAAACGUUGCUCGGAAUCAUUGGGCGUAAAGCGUGUGUAGGCGGCAUGUUAAGUCGGGUGUGAAAGCCCCGGGCUCAACCCGGGAAGUGCAUUCGAUACUGGCAUGCUUGAGUACGGGAGAGGGUCGCGGAAUUCCCGGUGUAGAGGUGAAAUUCGUAGAUAUCGGGAGGAACACCAGUGGCGAAGGCGGCGACCUGGACCGAUACUGACGCUGAGGAGCGAAAGCGUGGGGAGCGAACAGG
rnacentral:rRNA from 1 species